UACGUAGGGUGCAAGCGUUAAUCGGAAUUACUGGGCGUAAAGCGUGCGCAGGCGGUUUUGUAAGACAGGCGUGAAAUCCCCGGGCUUAACCUGGGAAUGGCGCUUGUGACUGCAAAGCUGGAGUGCGGCAGAGGGGGAUGGAAUUCUGCGUGUAGCAGUGAAAUGCGUAGAUAUGCGGAGGAACACCGAUGGCGAAGGCAAUCCCCUGGGCCUGCACUGACGCUCAUGCACGAAAGCGUGGGGAGCAAACAGG
rnacentral:rRNA from 1 species